GGCGGAUCAGCCCUGCACGGCACUCAUAAUGCCGGGGUCAGCGGUUCAAGUCCGCUCGCCGCUACCA
rnacentral:tRNA from 1 species